UACGGAGGAUGCGAGCGUUAUCCGGAUUUAUUGGGUUUAAAGGGUGCGUAGGCGGACUGUCAAGUCAGCGGUAAAAUUGAGAGGCUCAACCUCUUCCCGCCGUUGAAACUGGUGGUCUUGAGUGAUGAGAAGUACGCGGAAUGCGUGGUGUAGCGGUGAAAUGCAUAGAUAUCACGCAGAACCCCGAUUGCGAAGGCAGCAUGCCGGCUUCCUACUGACGCUGAAGCACGAAAGCGUGGGGAUCGAACAGG
rnacentral:rRNA from 1 species